rnacentral:lncRNA from 1 species
GUCAUUUGUGUUCUGUUCCUGUUCCAUAUCAGUCGUCCGCGCCGUUAAGCGGUUAAGCCAACACUCGCUUCACUUCAUUGCAGUGUUGGCAGUAGAGGAGCACGUGUGUAUUCUUCUUGUUUUAGGCAUCUGUGUUGUGUGUGGUCGGUCUCCAUAGAAUUGACGAUGAAAAAUUUGUUUAUAACGGGAUUUAGAUUUUUGGCUUGUCCACUCCACUGACAGCUGGGUUUUGGAGGCCAUGGCUAGUUAAUAGGAUAAAAGUGUUCCAGAUUGGAAAAUGGUUUACAGCAAACACACAUUUGAACAGUUGUUGGAUAAAAUUUUGUUCACCGUGUCUAAAUAUUUUCUUAGUGUUUUGCAUUUCAUUUAAUUUGUUUGUACCUGUCUUAAUUUUAUAAUUUAUUUUUGUCAUAUGACUCAAAACAACCAAGUGAUGUUUUUAGCUGUUUGGUGUUGCAAUUGAUGGAUUCAUACAUAAAAUUCGACGAUUUCCAAAAAAGGACUCCUAUUGAAUUUGGCGGAUUGUUUUCCUUUUUCAUAUGCGUUAUGUCAUUGAAGUAAUCGUGUAAUAAUAUAACCUUUUGGGAUUAAUUCAAUAUAUUUGGAAAACGAAUCGAUCAGGCUUCAUUUCAACUGAACAAGUUUAUUACCAAGAGAAGAAGAGCUUUAAUGAGUAAAAAAACAAACAAAAAAGACAUUUCAGGUUCCUAAAUCCGUAAACUAUUAUAUUUUCAACGAAACCGACGCUUUACACCCUUUUCAUAUCGCUCAAGGGAAAGUCCUGAAAUCCCCCACCAGGUGCCACUGCAGUUUUAUAACAACAAUGGCUGCCAUGGUUAGUGCACGGUUAGCUGUCUUUCACGUUUCGAUGCAGUACUUAAAAGUGAACUAUUAAGCAUUUAAAAAUUUUUUUGAAGCAGCGUGAUGUGUGGUAAAGCAGAUUAAGUGUGUAUCCAACAUUAUAGUGAAAUCCAUGUGAAAGGAAAAUAGCAUUAUCCAGGCUCUUCUUCAAUUGCAAACAAAGAGAAUUAAGAUUGAAACAAACGCAAAGUAUCCAACUGAAAUUCUCUUCAUAUUCAUGGUAAUUUUGGAAAAUAUUCUUUCCAGAGAAUAAUACCUUAAAAGAAAGAACUGUGGUUGUGAUAAUGUAGCAGUAUUGUGUGGAUCUGUCGCCGCCAUUCCAUAAACUGGCACAUUGGGAUGGUGAAACUGAGGAGAAAACGCUGAAAUUCAAGAUAAUUAUGUUGAUGUAGAUAAAUUAAAAGUGUAUAUCUGGACUCCCUUCUUUUCUGUGGCCCCGUUUCCCUAACUAACCACUAACCAACGCCCGCCGGUGGUCACUCACCCGCUGUGAAACCAGGAGGAGGGGAGGGCUCUGGUCGAA